GUAAAUCGAAAGAAUAAACACAAUAUAUACUUACAUAUGAAACUUCAUAAUGUUGCUUGACGAUCUCGAAGUUGAUGUCGAUCUUCUCUGAUUUUUUCCGAUCUCGAAGUUGCUGUUGAUCUUCUCCAAUUUUUUUCGAUCUCAAAGUUGCAUCGCCGUCAGAGAAUUCGUCUUCUCCGAUCUGUGUCGUUCUAUUUUUCUUCAUGAUCGGUUGAUUGCAAAUAUGAAAAUAGGUAACUGACGUGUGGGGAGUUAAUGUUCCGUAAUUUUAGCAACUUAUUAUUGUGUUGAGUUAUUUUUGUAAUUAUUUUGUGGAUGUAUUAUUUUUAUAAAUACUUUCUAAUUGUUGUAUAUUAGUGUUAAGGACCCUAAAUUUUCUAUGUAUGCUUGCAAGCUUAUCUCUAAGUGUUAUGGGUCAUUGCUACAUUAGACAGGUGUAUUGAGGCCAAACAUAACACCUAAAUCCAGCCCCUCCUUCAGUCAUAUUUAGGAGCCCAAAUGGGUAUAUAGAGAGCUGAGUUUUGUGAAGACAGUUCAGUUGUUACGUUAGUUUAGUUAGGCAGAGUGGAUCAGUUAAUAGUCAAUAACUUGCCACCAAGAACAAGGGAAAGGGCAACUAUGGGGCAGAGGUCUGACACUUUUAAUAGGGGCUGGGUAGACUAGACUAGAAAUUAUUGUUGAGAGCUUGAUAGGGUGGCUGUACAGAGGCCAAAUAGAGGCUAAUAGGACUGCCAGAAAAAGGAGAUAGCUCAUCCAUUAAAGGCAGCCCCUCACCCUCAUCCCAGCCAGUCAUUCAAGGAAAAUUCUGGGUUCUAUUUUGCUACAGAGCUUCCGGUUGGAAAGGAAGGAAAAUUAAACUACCAAACUACCUAAAUUUUUAAAAGCUAGCAAGGUAAGCCCAUUUAAACUCCUUCCAUUCUUUUUCCAUUUCAUUGUUAAUAGCAAAAUGGACUGUUUUGGCCGAAUGGUCUGGAUUGGUCAUAAAGGGCUAUUUCACUAUUACAAUGAUUGUUAUUUUGGAUUUUUGAAUGUUAUGUAACCGUUAUAAGGUCUAAUUGUUGCUGUGAUCAUUGCAUAAGCUGACUAAUGGUCGGGUGGCUUAAUAGGGGCUGAUAUAUAGAAUUUGAUAGUGAAUUGCUUUAUGACCAUAUUAGUAAUUGUUAAUACUGAUUGUGGGUUUUCUAUAAUGACUAUUUUGAAUAAGAUGGUUGUGUUUGCUAUGGUUGUCGUUAUGCUUGACUAAUAAUAGAAUCAUUGUUGUUUUAAAGCCAUAAGGCUGGGGUUAAAGAGCUAGAAGCAUGUGUACUAUAUGCCAGUAUGUGGACUGACCACCAUCUGUUUGAUAAAGUGACUAAAUGAGGACUGAAAUGUGUGAAAUGUGUUAAGCAAGUUAACUGUGUAAUAGAGUCUAAGAACAUGUUUAUUUGCUAAAAUGGAAUGUAUCCAUACUUCAAGUGUGCUCUACACUUAAGUAUACUAUGUUUUUAAAAACCACUUACACACAAUGCUAGCUAUGUUAAUGAACAAAACAAAAGUAAUUUUUUACUGUUUAUUAGGAGCUGAUUAUGAUUAAUUUGUCAUAUUUUAAAGGUUGUUUUCAUGCUAGGUAUGGUGCCAAAAUGUACUAAACCAUGAAUGAUAAAAGGGUAGAGCUUAAAGGGUAAUUGCAACUUGAAAAGAACCUAAAAUAGGGCAGGGCCUAUUUUGAACAGGCCAGACUCAGCCCCUAUUUUAGGAAUAUUUGGUAUACUAUUUAUGAAAUUAAGAAGCUUAGAAAAAGGACUGUUGUGGACUGUUAUGUGUAUAAUGUUUUAAACCAUCCAAAUCAAAGAUAUACAUGCUAAAUGUUAUGUAAAUAGCUAGUUCAUGUUUGUAUGUCACAUAAUCAUAUUGUUGAUUAGGUUGUCAACCCAUGUUUUCAUGAAAGUAUAAAGCCUACUAAAGGCUUUUUUGAACAAAAUCUUAAGGUAUUACAUCCAUAUGUUUUUAACCAUGAAAAAUAUAGUAUAUAGCAAGUACUUGUUGUGAUAAUGCAUGAAAUUCAAUGCUUGGUACUGUUUUGGUGUAAUGGUACUAAAUCAUGCCUAAAGUGCUCUAUAUGGACUAUUUUGGGUAUUCAAAAGAUGACUGACCUUUGCAAUUAUAAAUAAGGAAAUAAUUCUAUGUUAUAAGCAUGUUUUGAGGAUUGCUUGAAUACUUAAAGUUCCCUUUUACCUACAUAAGGACUAUUAUGAAUUGUUAUGUAAAUUUCAUACCUAAAAUGUCUAGAACUGGACUGUUUUGUGCUAAUGGUUUAACUAUUUAUGCAAACAUGCUAAAUUCCAUGAAAAUGAGAUAUACUAAUGGUUAGGAGCUUGCAAGAAUGCUUAGAUAUCUAAAGAAGCAUAGCUUGGGACUGUUUGUGAAAAAGAAGAAGCCAAAACAGUGCUUAAAUCCUACAAUUAGGAACUGUUAUGGUCUAUUUUAUCUACUCUUGUUAUAAAUCAUUAAAGUGUAUGUACAUUGUCUACAUAUAUCAUUUAAAAGUUGUUCCUUAAGUUAGUUAAGGUCUACAAGGUAUGUUGUGCAAAUUCAUGCUUAAAAACCAAUAAAAGUAAGAUUUAAAUAGCAAUGAACACCAAAAUGAAGAACCACCAUACCUGGACCAUAUAGAAAAGUUCCAAUAGCUAAAAUAUGACCCAAGUAAGCUACACAAGCUAAAGAAACCAAGUCUAAACUGUUUUGAGCAUUAGACUUGUUAAAAAUCAUAUUUUAAGCCAAAUAGUGGACUGUUUUGGGUGAUUGUUAGCACCUGAACUUAAGGGGCUGUGAUAAACUCAUAUAAAGUUUCUAGUGUAUGCUUAUAAUGGUUUCCAAUCAGUACCAAGACCAAAGUUAGCAAGAAAAGCAAGUUAGAAUCCAUUUUUCAAGCCUAAAGUGAGCUUUGAUAGGUCAAAAUUGGCUAGAUGAUUAAAUAAAGUGUGGUGAUGCUAAAAGUAUCUUUAAGUAACUUAAAUACACAUGCCUAGGCUAUUCUAGUGGCCAAAACUAGAAAAAUUUGGACAAAAGUUCAAAAAUUGGUUUUGUAAAAAAGUGAGAAAACUGCCAAGUUUGAGCCCUGUUUUGGGAAGCUUAAUGGGUAUGAAAAAGAAACCUAAACCCUGAUUAAAAUACCUUGAUGUACGAUCUAAAAUUAGGCUCAAAUGGUUGAGCCAAGAUCUUAAUCCAAUAAUUCAAACAAAUAACCAAACUAGGCUAGAAAAUCAUUCUAACUGCAGUUUUGGAAAAUUUUGCAAGUAUAAAAUUUGAGAUUUUGCCAUUUUGCUUAGAACUCCGUUUUAACACCUUAAACAAAUUAUUUAGAGGCAUGCUAGGAUAUUCCAAGUUUUGGAAUGCUAAUAUAUACAACUUCAGAAAUUAGUAUGUAAAAACUUGAAAAAGCUAGGUUUAGAGGGUCAAAACCAAAUCUAUGCUUAAUAAAGUCAAAGGAAUGCUUAAACUAGUCUUAACUAGUAAUAAUUCAAGUUUUGGAAUGAACCCAAGAGGCCAGAAAUGAAAAUGGCAAGAAUUGACUGAAGUUAGUAAACUAAAAACUGUGGAAAACACCUAGUUUGGGCAUGAGUUUCAAGAAAUAUAAAAGGCUUACUUGGAAACCUUAACCAACACAAAAAAAUACUUUGGUAUAUAUGCUAGAAGUAUGUCCAGAUUUCUGGUCCAAAAGCCUAAUACAAAAAUUCCUAAAAAUCAUCAAAGUAGCCUCGAAAUUCAUAAACGUGCAGUUUCCUUAAGAAAUUGUUAAGAACAGCCCAUUUGAGGCUUGUUUUUGAAUUGUCUAACUUGAUAGUUUUUAUGAUUUAAACCAAGGAUAAAAUACUUUGGUAUGGGGUCUAUAAAAGUGUACAAAUGAUAGGUUCAAAAGACUAUCAUAGAAUAUUCUAAAAAUUAUCAAAGGUGCCUCAAAAAUCAUGAUUUUGAGUUAUUGAAAUAUAUUUUUAAAAGUGAAAUUUAAGACUUGUAAAUGUCCUAACAUGACUAAAUAAGUUAAUAAAAGUAUGUUAUGUUCUAAGAUCUAUAAGAUGACAUGUUUAGACAAAAAAAAAACAAGUAUGCUUUAUGAUAUAUAUGAACUUUAUAGGUGAUGUGUGCCUAUGUGUGUUAGUUGUAUGAAAGUGUCAUAUAAACUAAGCUAUAAAAAGGUGUUGCGAUAAACUAUAUGCCUACGUGUACUAAGUUAUAUUUGCAAAUAAAAGCUGAAUGUAUACUUGGCUAAUGUUAGUAAAUAACAUACAUGUUAGUUAUUGGAUAUGGCUUCAAUAACCAUAGUAAAGUUGUGUAUCCAUAAAUAUGGACUUUGUGUUACAACAUAACUAAGUAAGCUGAUAUUGUAUAUAUGUAGGUACAAUAUCAUGUAGGCUACUCUGUGGCAAGUUACUUUCUUUAUUAAAAGGUUUAAUCGACACAAGAGGCAAGUAUAUCAAACCAUUCUCUCUUAAAUAAGUUUAUAUUGCAGUAUUUAACUCAAAAGCUAUCUUUUCAAGUUAUUCAACUUAUUGUACUUUAAUGCUUCAAAUUCAGUUAUUCUGAUGAUAUUGAAAGAAUGUCAAUGCCAUUAUUUCGGCUAGAAAACUGUUGAGAUAUAUUGAUAUUAUUCAUUCAUGAAAAUCUCAUUUAAUGUUCUCUAAACCAUUUUGUUGUGGUGCGGACUCUUAUAUAAUGUUGUGAAUGAACAACCCUUUUAUAGGGGCAUAUUGUACUGGACAUAUGAUUCCGAAGGACAUGUAAUAUGUCAUCAAACUGUUAUGUUGUGUACAAUAUAGGGUAUUCAGGUUGAUCCCCUAAGGUACAAGUCUAAGAUAUAUCAGUUUUAAUAACUGUUUGCACCUAUUGAUUGCAGUUUUAGUACUGUCAAUUCUAAUACAGAGUUCACUGGUCAUUUGACCUUACAACAUGCUAAAGCUUGAUUCUUUAAACCCAAAGCUUAUCAAGAACUAUUUUUCUCAGUAUCUCAUGAUUUUAUUGCCUUUAUUGUAAAUAUUCUUGUUCCAUUAUAUUCAAUUGUUUAUUUUCUUGUUGAGCAAGCUUUUGCUCACCCUUGCGUUGAAUAUAAUGUUUUCAGUUAAAACCGAGAACGCUGGUACGUCUGGGAAAGAUAAAGGAAAAGGCAAAGUUGUAGAAUAAUUUAUUAUUAAGCGAUUGUGCUUAAAUGGACUUAAGUAGUUGAUGUAAUAAAUACCUUUAGUACUAUGUUUUGUAAUAUUAUUUAAUAUUUAAGUUAUGUAAAGGUCUAUAGAACUUGAGAUUUAAGUAAGAUAUUUAUGUAAUCUAAGACAGGUUUAAGUUAGUAUUUUUAUGGAAUGAAUGGAUAUGUUAGUAUCGUGAGCACCAAACCUGAGGUAAAGGUAACCCGAAUUUGGGAGCGUCACAUAUAUAGUGGGCCAAGGUCCAUGUGGAGUUAUUUUAACCCAUGUAGGAUUUUGUUUGGGCAAUGGAG
rnacentral:lncRNA from 1 species